rnacentral:rRNA from 1 species
GUCUACGGCCAUACCACCCUGAACGCACCCGAUCUCGUCUGAUCUCGGAAGCUAAGCAGGGUCGGGCCUGGUUAGUACUUGGAUGGGAGAAAUGGAAGAUAAAUAUGUUGGAAAUGAUGCAGUAAACU